GACGAACGCUGGCGGCGUGCUUAACACAUGCAAGUCGAACGGUGAAGCGAGUGCUUGCACUCGUGGAUCAGUGGCGAACGGGUGAGUAACACGUGAGUAACCUGCCCAUCACUCUGGGAUAAGCACUGGAAACGGUGUCUAAUACUGGAUACGACCAACCCUUGCAUGGGGUGUUGGUGGAAAGAUUUAUCGGUAAUGGAUGGACUCGCGGCCUAUCAGCUUGUUGGCGGGGUAAUGGCCCACCAAGGCGACGACGGGUAGCCGGCCUGAGAGGGUGACCGGCCACACUGGGACUGAGACACGGCCCAGACUCCUACGGGAGGCAGCAGUGGGGAAUAUUGCACAAUGGGCGAAAGCCUGAUGCGGCGACGCCGCGUGAGGGAUGACGGCCUUCGGGUUGUAAACCUCUUUCAGCAGGGAAGAAGCGAAAGUGACGGUACCUGCAGAAGAAGCACCGGCUAACUACGUG
rnacentral:rRNA from 1 species